CCAAGAACAUAAAUAUCCUAUGAUGAUAAGGCAAAAAGUAUACAAUUGUAUUUAUGCAAUUAACCUUGAAAUGCAACAAAAAUAAUGUCAUCAGUAGAACUUAUAUCCCAUCCUCGGACCAAUAUGCCUAUGAUGAAUCUAGAAAAACUUAAAAGUCCACUAGUCUAAUAGAAAUUUGCCUACCAACAACCUAUGCAAAUGAUUGCAUCAAUUGCAAAAAAAACCUACCUAUACAUUGAUGCU
rnacentral:lncRNA from 1 species